rnacentral:rRNA from 1 species
GAUGAACGCUGGCGGCGUGCCUAAUACAUGCAAGUCGAGCGAACGGACGAGAAGCUUGCUUCUCUGAUGUUAGCGGCGGACGGGCGAGUAACACGUGGAUAACCUACCUAUAAGACUGGGAUAACUUCGGGAAACCGGAGCUAAUACCGGAUAAUAUUUUGAACCGCAUGGUUCAAAAGUGAAAGACGGUCUUUCUGUCACUUAUAGAUGGAUCCGCGCUGCAUUAGCUAGUUGGUAAGGUAACGGCUUACCAAGGCAACGAUGCAUAGCCGACCUGAGAGGGUGAUAGGCCACACUGGAACUGAGACACGGUCCAGACUCCUACGGGAGGCAGCAGUAGGGAAUCUUCCGCAAUGGGCGAAAGCAUGACGGAGCAACGCCGCGUGAGUGAUGAAGGUCUUCGGAUCGUAAAAAUCUGUUAUUAGGGAAGAACAUAUGUGUAAGUAACUGUGCACAUCUUGACGGUACCUAAUCAGAAAGCCACGGCUAACUACGUG